rnacentral:rRNA from 1 species
AAUAUUGGACAAUGGGCGAAACCCUGAUCCAGCCAUGCCGCGUGUGUGAAGAAGGUCNNNGGAUUNUAAAGCACUUUAAGUUGNGAGNAAGAGUUGUAGGCUAAUACCUUGCAAUCUUGACGUUACCAACAGAAUAAGCACCGGCUAACUUCGUGCCAGCAGCCGCGGUAAUACCAAGGGUGCAAGCGUUAAACGGAAUUACUGGGCGUAAAGCGCGCGUAGGUGGUUUGUUAAGUUGGAAGAGAAAGGCCCGGGCUCAACCUGGGAACUGCUAUCAAAACAGGCAAGAUAGAGUAUGGCAGAGGGUGGUGGAAUUUCCUGUGUAGCGGUGAAAUGCGUAGAUAUAGGAAGGAACACCAGUGGCGAAGGAGACCACCUGGGCUAAUACUGACACUGAGGUGCGAAAGCGUGGGGAGCAAACAGG